rnacentral:rRNA from 1 species
AAUGAACGCUGGCGGCAUGCCUAACACAUGCAAGUCGAACGAAGGCUUCGGCCUUAGUGGCGCACGGGUGCGUAACGCGUGGGAAUCUGCCCUUGGGUUCGGAAUAACAGUUAGAAAUGACUGCUAAUACCGGAUGAUGUCGUAAGACCAAAGAUUUAUCGCCCAAGGAUGGGCCCGCGUAGGAUUAGCUAGUUGGUGGGGUAAAGGCCCACCAAGGCGACGAUCCUUAGCUGGUCUGAGAGGAUGAUCAGCCACACUGGGACUGAGACACGGCCCAGACUCCUACGGGAGGCAGCAGUGGGGAAUAUUGGACAAUGGGCGAAAGCCUGAUCCAGCAAUGCCGCGUGAGUGAUGAAGGCCUUAGGGUUGUAAAGCUCUUUUACCCGGGAUGAUAAUGACAGUACCGGGAGAAUAAGCUCCGGCUAACUUCGUGCCAGCCGCCGCGGUAACAC